rnacentral:rRNA from 1 species
AAAAUGGCCAUGCGUGGCAAAUUGCAUGUACCUGGAGAAUAAGCCACGGCUAACUACGUGCCAGCAGCCGCGGUAAUACGUAGGUGGCAAGCGUUGUCCGGAUUUAUUGGGUUUAAAGGGUGCGUAGGCGGCCUUGUAAGUCAGUGCUGAAAUAUCCCCGCUCAACGGGGAGGGUGGCAUUGAUACUGCAGGGCUUGAAUACAGAUGAGGUAGGCGGAAUUGACGGUGUACCGGUGAAAUGCAUAGAUAUCGUCAAGAACACCGAUAGCGAAGGCAGCUUACUAAGUUGUAACUGACGCUGAUGCACCAAAGUGUGGGGAUCAAACAGGAUUAGAUACCCUGGUAG